GACGAACGCUGGCGGCGUGCUUAACACAUGCAAGUCGAACGGAAAGGCCUGCUUUCCCUUGUGGAUUGCGGGUACUCGAGUGGCGAACGGGUGAGUAACACGUGAGUGAUCUGCCCCCAACUUGGGUAUAAGCCUGGGAAACUGGGUCUAAUUCCCGAUAGGACUGCAGGGUGGUGCCUGUGGUGGAAAACGAUUUUCUAGUGGUUGGGGAUGAGCUCGCGGCCUAUCAGCUUGUUGGUGGGGUAAUGGCCUACCAAGGCGGCGACGGGUAGCCGGCCUGAGAGGGUGGACGGCCACAUUGGGACUGAGAUACGGCCCAGACUCCUACGGGAGGCAGCAGUGGGGAAUAUUGCACAAUGGGCGGAAGCCUGAUGCAGCGACGCCGCGUGGGGGAUGACGGCCUUCGGGUUGUAAACUCCUUUCGACCGCGAGGAAGCCACCUGGUUGGAAGGGUGGUGACGGUUGUGGUAGAAGAAGCACCGGCUAACUACGUG
rnacentral:rRNA from 1 species